rnacentral:rRNA from 1 species
UACGUAGGGGGCGAGCGUUGUCCGGAAUCAUUGGGCGUAAAGAGCGUGUAGGCGGCCCGAUAAGUCUGGUGUGAAAUCUUGAGGCUCAACCUCAAGCUGUCAUCGGAUACUGUCGGGCUAGAGUCCGGAAGAGGAGAGUGGAAUUCCUGGUGUAGCGGUGGAAUGCGCAGAUAUCAGGAGGAACACCAGUGGCGAAGGCGGUCUCCUGGGGCAUUCUUGACGCUGAGGCGCGAAAGCGGGGGGAGCAAACGGG